UCUUUUGCAAUGCCCGCAAGGGUGACAAUGCGACGCCGCGUGUGCGAUGAAGGUCUUCGGAUUGUAAAGCACUGUCAGUCGGGAGGAAGGUGACUCUAUCUAACAGAUGGAGUUGCUUGACAGUACCGGCAGAGGAAGCCACGGCUAACUCCGUGCCAGCAGCCGCGGUAAUACGGAGGUGGCAGGCGUUACUCGGAUUGAUUGGGUGUAAAGGGCGUGUAGGUGGUGAAUUAAGUCGAGUGUGAAAUCCCUUGGCUCAACCAAGGAACUGCAUUCGAAACUGAUUUGCUUGAGUGAUAGAGAGGUAAGCGGAAUUCCCGGUGUAACAGUGAAAUGUGUAGAUAUCGGGAGGAACACCAGUGGCGAAGGCGGCUUACUGGCUAUCUACUGACACUAAACGCAA
rnacentral:rRNA from 1 species